rnacentral:rRNA from 1 species
AUUGAACGCUGGCGGCAGGCUUAACACAUGCAAGUCGAGCGAGCGGCGGACGGGUGAGUAAUGUCUGGGAAACUGCCUGAUGGAGGGGGAUAACUACUGGAAACGGUAGCUAAUACCGCAUACCAUCAGAUGUGCCCCGAUGGGAUUAGCUAGCAGGUGGGGUAAUGGGUCACCAAGGCGACGAUCCUUAGCUGGGCUAGGCGGAUGACCGGCCACACUGGAACUGAGACACGGUCCAGACUCCUACGGGAGGCAGCAGUGGGGAAUAUUGCACAAUGGGCGAAAGCCGGAUGCAGCCAUGCCGCGUGUGUGAAGAAGGCCUUCGGGUUGUAAAGCACUUUCAGCGAGGAGGCGUUACUCGCAGAAGAAGCACCGGCUAACUCCGUGCCAGCAGCCGCGGUAAUAC